rnacentral:rRNA from 1 species
UACGAAAGGGGCUAGCGUUGUUCAGAAUUACUGGGCGUAAAGCGCAUGUAGGCGGGUCGUUAAGUCGGGGGUGAAAGCCCAAAGCUCAACUCUGGAACUGCCUUCGAUACUGGCAACCUGGACCCAAGGAGAGGCGAGUGGAAUUGCGAAUGUAGAGGUGAAAUUCGUAGAUAUUCGCAGGAACACCAGUGGCGAAGGCGACUCGCUGGACUUGUGGUGACGCUGAAAUGCAAAAGCAUGGGGAGCAAACAGG